GGGAAUCUUCCGCAAUGGGCGAAAGCCUGAUGGAGCAACGCCGCGUGAGUGAAGAAGGUCUUAGGAUUGUAAAGCUCUGUCCUUAGGGAAGAACCGUGGGUAUAGUAAAUGCUACCCACCUGACGGUACCUUUGGAGGAAGCACUGGCUAACUACGUGCCAGCAGCCGCGGUAAUACGUAGAGUGCAAGCGUUGUCCGGAAUUAUUGGGCGUAAAGGGUACGCAGGCGGAUAAUCAAGUCAAGCGUGAAAGGUGUCGGCUUAACCGACAGACUGCGUUUGAAACUGGUUAUCUUGAGUGUAACAGAGGAGAGUGGAAUUCCUAGUGUAGUGGUGAAAUACGUAGAUAUUAGGAAGAACACCAGUGGCGAAGGCGACUCUCUGGGUUAACACUGACGCUGAGGUACGAAAGCUGGGGGAGCGAAAGGGAUUAGAUACCCCUGUAGUC
rnacentral:rRNA from 1 species